CACGGGGGGGGUAAGCGUUGUUCGGAAUCACUGGGCGUAAAGGGCGCGUAGGUGGCCUGAUCAGUCGGGGGUGAAAGCCUGUGGCUCAACCACAGAAUGGCCUUCGAUACUGUCGGGCUUGAGACCGGAAGAGGUAAGUGGAACUGCGAGUGUAGAGGUGAAAUUCGUAGAUAUUCGCAAGAACACCAGUGGCGAAGGCGGCUUACUGGUCCGGAUCUGACGCUGAGGCGCGAAAGCGUGGGGAGCAAACAGG
rnacentral:rRNA from 1 species